rnacentral:rRNA from 1 species
CUUGUCUCUUAAAUGGGGACCUGUAUGAAUGGCAACACAUUUUCUAACUGUCUCUUUUCUCAACCUUCUAAACUUCUACUAAUGUGAAGAAGCAUUAAUAAAAAAGAAAGACGAGAAGACCCUGUCGAGCUUCAACUUCUAAAAGAAAAUAAAUAUAACUCUUACAAAGAACAUUCACUCUAACACGGAAGUUUUGGUUGGGGUAACCAUGGAGUACAAAAAACCUCCAGAAACUUAAACAGAUUUUAAAUCAAAUAAUCACCAAACAAAGAACCAACAUAUUGGAAAACAGAAAUAGUUACCGCAGGGAUAACAGCGUCAUCUCCUUUAAGAGUUC